rnacentral:rRNA from 1 species
CCUACGGGAGGCAGCAGUGGGGAAUAUUGGACAAUGGGGGAAACCCGUGAUCCAGCAAUGCCGCGUGAGUGAUGAAGGCCUUAGGGUCGUAAAGCUCUUUUACCAGGGAUGAUAAUGACAGUACCUGGAGAAUAAGCUCCGGCUAACUCCGUGCCAGCAGCCGCGGUAAUACGGAGGGAGCUAGCGUUGUUCGGAAUUACUGGGCGUAAAGCGUGCGUAGGCGGUUAUUCAAGUCAGAGGUGAAAGCCCGGGGCUCAACCCCGGAACGGCCUUUGAAACUAGAUAACUAGAAUCUUGGAGAGGUCAGUGGAAUUCCGAGUGUAGAGGUGAAAUUCGUAGAUAUUCGGAAGAACACCAGUGGCGAAGGCGACUGACUGGACAAGUAUUGACGCUGAGGUACGAAAGCGUGGGGAGCAAACAGGAUUAGAUACCCUGGUAGUCCACGCCGUAAACGAUGAUAACUAGCUGUCCGGACACUUGGUGUUUGGGUGGCGCNGCUACGACAUUAAGUUAAUUCCGUCCGUCGGGUAGGGUACGGUCGGCGAGAAGUAAACUAACAAAGAAGUAGUACGGCGNGAGAACGUGCCGACGACGACGACGAGGGAGGUUAGG